rnacentral:rRNA from 1 species
UGAAUCCAUAGGUUAAUGAGGCGAACCGGGGGAACUGAAACAUCUAAGUACCCCGAGGAAAAGAAAUCAACCGAGAUUCCCCCAGUAGCGGCGAGCGAACGGGGAGGAGCCCAGAGCCUGAAUCAGUGUGUGUGUUAGUGGAAGCGUCUGGAAAGGCGCGCGAUACAGGGUGACAGCCCCGUACACAAAAAUGCACAUGCUGUGAGCUCGAUGAGUAGGGCGGGACACGUGGUAUCCUGUCUGAAUAUGGGGGGACCAUCCUCCAAGGCUAAAUACUCCUGACUGACCGAUAGUGAACCAGUACCGUGAGGGAAAGGCGAAAAGAACCCCGGCGAGGGGAGUGAAAAAGAACCUGAAACCGUGUACGUACAAGCAGUGGGAGCACGCUUAGGCGUGUGACUGCGUACCUUUUGUAUAAUGGGUCAGCGACUUAUAUUCUGUAGCAAGGUUAACCGAAUAGGGGAGCCGAAGGGAAACCGAGUCUUAACUGGGCGUUAAGUUGCAGGGUAUAGACCCGAAACCCGGUGAUCUAGCCAUGGGCAGGUUGAAGGUUGGGUAACACUAACUGGAGGACCGAACCGACUAAUGUUGAAAAAUUAGCGGAUGACUUGUGGCUGGGGGUGAAAGGCCAAUCAAACCGGGAGAUAGCUGGUUCUCCCCGAAAGCUAUUUAGGUAGCGCCUCGUGAAUUCAUCUCCGGGGGUAGAGCACUGUUUCGGCAAGGGGGUCAUCCCGACUUACCAACCCGAUGCAAACUGCGAAUACCGGAGAAUGUUAUCACGGGAGACACACGGCGGGUGCUAACGUCCGUCGUGAAGAGGGAAACAACCCAGACCGCCAGCUAAGGUCCCAAAGUCAUGGUUAAGUGGGAAACGAUGUGGGAAGGCCCAGACAGCCAGGAUGUUGGCUUAGAAGCAGCCAUCAUUUAAAGAAAGCGUAAUAGCUCACUGGUCGAGUCGGCCUGCGCGGAAGAUGUAACGGGGCUAAACCAUGCAC